GCCCAGGUGGCGGAAUUGGUAGACGCGCACGGUUCAGGUCCGUGUGCCGCAAGGCGUGGAGGUUCGAGUCCUCUCCUGGGCACCA
rnacentral:tRNA from 124 species